rnacentral:tRNA from 1 species
GUAUGCGUACCGAAAUGGUUAUAACGGCACAGAUUUGAAAUCUGUUGUGUCGGCAUUGACCCGACAUGGGCGUUCGAAUCGCUCCGCAUACG